UACGUAGGUGGCAAGCGUUGUCCGGAUUUAUUGGGCUUAAAGGGUGCGUAGGCGGCUUUGUAAGUCAGUGGUGAAAUAUGGCAGCUCAACUGUCAGGGUGCCAUUGAUACUGCGGAGCUUGAGUACAGAUGAGGUAGGCGGAAUUGACGGUGUAGCGGUGAAAUGCUUAGAUAUCGUCAAGAACACCGAUAGCGAAGGCAGCUUACUGGACUGUAACUGACGCUGAGGCACGAAAGUGUGGGGAUCAAACAGG
rnacentral:rRNA from 1 species